rnacentral:misc_RNA from 1 species
UUUUUUCUUGCGAACAUUCUCUAUCAUCAAUUCUUGUGAAAUCUGUGAAGAAAUACUAGUUAAUAGAAAUAAAAUCAUUUAAAUACCCAAAAAUCAUACAAAACUAAAUGUUAAUUUUCAAAGUAUAUUUGCGAAUUUACAACUACGUUUAAAAAAUUCUCCGAAAGAAUUUGGCUUCCUUAGCCAGUAUAAAUUUGCUGCUUUGUUCACCGCAGUACAUCAAUCAAUAAAGUGGAAGAAAAGCUGUGAGAUAAACAUUAAUAUUUCACAUCAACGCAAAUUUAAAAUUUUCAAACAAAUAUUGCUACAGUUAAGUCAAUGCGAUAUAAGUUCCCGUGAAUAAUCAUAAUAAAAUUUCAUCAAAGUUAUAAAGUAAACAAUUUAAAAGUUUUAUCUUCAAUAAUGUCGGCAUCAAUAAGCAAAAUUCAUGUCACCAGCUCGACUGGUUUGUCAUUGAAUGAACGUUUUACGGCAGUGCAGGAUCGCCGCCGUGAAGUGCCAGAACGCGUUUUGCGACCUACUCGCGACACAUCUGUCGCAAAUCGUCGUCUAUUGCAGCAGCUAGCUAGAAGACAUAAAAUGCAAGCAGCACUUAAAUUGAAACGCAGAAGCAUGCGACCAAUUGGAGGAACUGUAGCUAUGAGACGCGGCACUAUCAAGGCCUUGCGUGUAGCAGCUAAUGGAAAACCGAUCCGUACCAAUAGCCUGACCACCGUUGCAACAAUGGAAGCCGAUUUGAUUACGAACAAUCAACGCAACUUAAACAGAUCCCUCCGUCGAGCGAAUUCCGUUUCGAACCGUUUGGGCCGCCCACUAGUAGGCGGUGCUGCUCAGCGUAUUGCCCAGCGACGUUUACAACGUGCAUUGCCCGGUGCAAUCAUACCGCAUGAAAUGCAAAGGCGUGGCCGUUCACGCAGUCGUUCUAGGGCGCCCGUGGAGAUUAUAAAUUUGACCCGUAGUCGUUCACGCAGCGUAGGACGCACGCUACCAACAGGCGUUCAAGUUCGUGGUCGUUCUCGCUCACGUGUACGUUCACGCAGUCGUGUCAAUGCUGUUUCUAGAAAUAAUAUACCAGUAAAAGCCCGCUUGGGUGUCCGUCCUGGAGCUAUUGCUGGCCGUCGUCGUAGCCAAAGUGCUGUACGCGGCGUAGCACAAGGACGCAUACAGCGUCGACGCAAUUCUAAUGUUGCUGCUGGAGCUGCUGGACGUACAGCUAACGCUGGGCGCCAACGGGGAAGAACAAUGACUAGAAACGCAAACGCCAUAGUAAACACGGCUGGCCGCUCACGUUCGCGCACACGUAAUGGCGUACAGGCACGCGCUCAAUCACGUGCACGUUCACGUACUCGUGGGGGAUCUGUUGUGGGUCAGCGCAAUGUAGGAUCGGCUCAAGCUGGUCGCAUACGUGGCCGUAGUCAACAACGGCGUGGAGGACGUGGUGCAAUAGCACAAAGAAAUGGUAAAACUAAUGGUAAUAAGAAUGGACAGCAACAACAACAACAGCAGCAGCGACGUGGUCGCAGUCGCAGCCGUGGUGGACGCGGUGGCCGCAAUCAAGGUAAAAACUAACCAAGGCGUGUUAUAAAUGCACACGCUACGCCUGGAACUGCGGUAAUCAAGGUAAGACUGCUAAGCCAGAGGUUGAUAAGGAUAAGCUCGACAAGGAGCUGGACCAAUAUAUGGCGACAACAAGAACUGAGAACACUGAC